AUUCCCCGGCGGAGCAAUGUUCACGUUGCACGGCCAACAAGGCAGGAGAGGAGGCGUUGGCGGGGGAGGAGAUGGGUGGUGGUGGUGCUUCUUUGGAGGAGGUGGACAGUCGAUCACCGAAGGUGGUGGAGGUGAUGGUGGAGGAGGAGAUGGUGAUGGAUAUUCGCAAGCGUCGCACUUCGUUUCCCCUUGACUUGCCGCCGGUGCCGCCGUCAGGCUACCUAGAACAGCAAAGGUGAGAAGAAAAGUUGAAAUUUUCAUGGUAGAAAGAUCCCAAAUCAAGGAAGGAAGG
rnacentral:lncRNA from 1 species